AACGAACGCUGGCGGCAGGCUUAACACAUGCAAGUCGAACGCCCCGCAAGGGGAGUGGCAGACGGGUGAGUAACGCGUGGGAAUCUACCCAGUUCUACGGAACAACAGUUGGAAACGACUGCUAAUACCGUAUACGCCCUAAGGGGGAAAGAUUUAUCGGAAUUGGAUGAGCCCGCGUUGGAUUAGCUAGUUGGUGGGGUAAUGGCCUACCAAGGCGACGAUCCAUAGCUGGUCUGAGAGGAUGAUCAGCCACACUGGGACUGAGACACGGCCCAGACUCCUACGGGAGGCAGCAGUGGGGAAUAUUGGACAAUGGGCGCAAGCCUGAUCCAGCCAUGCCGCGUGAGUGAUGAAGGCCUUAGGGUUGUAAAGCUCUUUCACCGAUGAAGAUAAUGACGGUAGUCGGAGAAGAAGCCCCGGCUAANUUCGUGCCAGCAGCCGCGGUAAUACGAAGGGGGCUAGCGUUGUUCGGAUUUACUGGGCGUAAAGCGCACGUAGGCGGUUUUGUUAAGUCAGAGGUGAAAAUCCCCGGGAGCUCAACUCCGGAACUGCCUUUGAUACUGGCAAGCUAGAGUCCGGAAGAGGUAAGUGGAACUCCUAGUGUAGAGGUGGAAUUCGUAGAUAUUAGGAAGAACACCAGUGGCGAAGGCGGCUUACUGGUCCGGAACUGACGCUGAGGUGCGAAAGCGUGGGGAGCAAACAGG
rnacentral:rRNA from 1 species